GUGGGUACAAUGAAUCUACUUUAUUCAGCACACCAACCUAAUUUCCGAGACAUGUUACAUACCUGAAACAUGUCUUAGAAAUUAGGGUUUUUCUUAGUUUGUGUGCUGAACAAAGUAGAUUCCUUGUACCCA
rnacentral:pre_miRNA from 1 species